rnacentral:pre_miRNA from 1 species
CAUGAUGCUGCUCAGUAUUUUAAUACUGGUCUUACUGUCUUAGUUUGCGUCUUGUCUUUUGAACUGGAUUUGCCGACUUGAACUGCGUUGUUGAAGGUUUACAAAACCCGAGCCUGCAAAUCCAGUCAAAAGUUAAACCGGGCUGAGAUUUACGAAUCUGAUAUAUAUUGGGAGGUAUUAUG